rnacentral:rRNA from 1 species
GAGUUUGAUCCUGGCUCAGAUUGAACGCUGGCGGCAGGCCUAACACAUGCAAGUCGAGCGGAUGAAGGGAGCUUGCUCCUGGAUUCAGCGGCGGACGGGUGAGUAAUGCCUAGGAAUCUGCCUGGUAGUGGGGGAUAACGUCCGGAAACGGGCGCUAAAUACCGCAUACGUCCUGAGGGAGAAAGUGGGGGAUCUUCGGACCUCACGCUAUCAGAUGAGCCUAGGUCGGAUUAGCUAGUUGUGGGUAAAGGCUACCAAGGCGACGAUCCGUAACUGGUCUGAGAGGAUGAUCAGUCACACUGGAACUGAGACACGGUCCAGACUCCUACGGGAGGCAGCAGUGGGGAAUAUUGGACAAUGGGCGAAAG